rnacentral:rRNA from 1 species
UUCCUGGUGUAGCGGUGGAAUGCGCAGAUAUCAGGAGGAACACCGAUGGCGAAGGCAGGUCUCUGGGCUGUAACUGACGCUGAGGAGCGAAAGCAUGGGGAGCGAACAGGAUUAGAUACCCUGGUAGUCCAUGCCGUAAACGUUGGGCACUAGGUGUGGGGACCAUUCCACGGUUUCCGCGCCGCAGCUAACGCAUUAAGUGCCCCGCCUGGGGAGUACGGCCGCAAGGCUAAAACUCAAAGGAAUUGACGGGGGCCCGCACAAGCGGCGGAGCAUGCGGAUUAAUUCGAUGCAACGCGAAGAACCUUACCAAGGCUUGACAUGUUCUCGAUCGCCGUAGAGAUACGGUUUCCCCUUUGGGGCGGGUUCACAGGUGGUGCAUGGUUGUCGUCAGCUCGUGUCGUGAGAUGUUGGGUUAAGUCCCGCAACGAGCGCAACCCUCGUUCCAUGUUGCCAGCACGUAAUGGUGGGGACUCAUGGGAGACUGCCGGGGGUCAACUCGGAGGAAGGUGAGGACGACGUCAAAUCAUCAUGCCCCUUAUGUCUUGGGCUUCACGCAUGCUACAAUGGCCGGUACAAUGGGUUGCGAUACUGUGAGGUGGAGCUAAUCCCAAAA